UAUUAUUUGGGAGCGGAUCAAAUCGGCGGCUCGAGCGGCGGCGACGGCGGCGGCUCGAGCUUGCAGGGGCUGGGGGCAGAUCCGGAGGCAGGGGUCGCCGGUGACGACGAGGAAGGCGGAGCACGGGCGGAUCCAUGGCAUCCGCGGCUCCUGGGCACAAAGGAGACAGGGAGGCCAGGGAGAGAAGAAGGAAGAAAGGAGGGGUUGUGCGGCGACCUAGCGAGGAGCUCGCCGGAGCUGGGCGAAGGCGGACUGGCGCGGGAGACGGAGGGGUCCGGCGCGGCGGCGCGAAGUCCUUGCAGGUGGAGACAGGCGUCGAAGCAGAGGACGAGAGGAUCCCCUGAUCCAUCCCCUCCUACCCAUCCAGCCCUUCCUCGAUGGCCCGCGUGCGACGAGCCCCUACGCGGGGUAAGAAGGGGGAUCACGCGAGGUGGGGCACUCCAGCCCCCUCCUAGCCCUACCACGGUGAGGCCUCCUUUCCCUCUCUCCCUGCCUGAGCCAUAGGCUGGCGGCGCUGAGGUCGAUAUGCUCAUGCACACACUGUUGCUGUGACAUGAUGACAGCCACAACCCACUUUUUCUUCCAGUUCCUUGUUUUUGUGGUGGAUGCAUCCAUGAUUAUUUGUUUCAACUAUUGAUUUUCAGUUUAGUCAAUCAAACCCAUUCCGAUGCUGCUCUUUUACUUGUACAAAUAAACUAUUGUUCACUAAACUGAGCAGCUAGCUACUGGUGUCUCAAAGAUUAAGCACAGGUUGGUACUUAUGGUCAGGCCUGCCUCAAGUAGGGGAAGAAGAGGAGGCCUGAAAGAGAGAGGCCACAAGGAUUGGAUCACGGAUGUGUGUUGGCUAUGUCUCUCAUGGUGUGUGGAACCAGUUAUUGGUUAAUUUCAUCUUGUUUGUUGACAUUGAUGGUGUUGUCCAUUGGUUUAAAAGAAAUUUGUUGAAGCUAAAGAUGAAGAGGAACUCGUGGAAGAGGAAAAGAAAUGACAUGGUAGAAAUUCAUUCACACAUAUCAGGGUCAUAGUGAGAGGAUUGAUCUGCUUGAUUCGCUCCUGAUGGUCGGUGGAUUGUUUCUGGUAGGGCUAAGAGUUCUGUGAAGGUAAGAUUUUGAUCCAACCUAUUAAGCAGUACCACACAAAUUACAGGAGAAUCUAUUGUUUGGUCCAACCUAUAAAGUUGCCAUAUAUGCUCAGUUGCUCACAACAGUGCUAAUAUUAACAAGGUGAAUAAACUCACGCUCUAGCGGAAGAUAUCCUUUAUAUUUUUGGGGUCAGUGAUACCUGUACAAAAACAUAAGAUGUGUUCCUAGAUAACAUCUUUCCUCCAAAAUAAUUUAUAUAUCAUCUAGACUUGGUUAGUUGUAACUUUUGCUUUCUGUUCUUUCCACAAGCUUCUGUAGGUUCAAAUGACAAUUGUUAAAUUUUGGGACCUUAAGACUUUUUAGUUGAUUGCAUCCUAGACCGGGAGGUAUAAUAGCAUAUCCUAAUUGUCUAAUUGAUGAUUCAGAAAGCUCUGGCUCUACUCAUGUAUAUCAGUUUAUAUUCAGAUUGUGAAGUACUCCUUCUAUAAAGAAAUAUAAGAGAGUUUAGUUCUAUAAAACAUAUUUAUAUGCAGUUAUCCAACAAAUUUAUGUCCUAAAAUCUUACAACUUCUCUUAAGCUGUUUUUUUGCGGGAAUACUAUAUUUGAUCAUAACCUUGGCUUAAAUGCAAUUUAAUUUCAACCUCAAAUUUGGUGAUUUUUUAAUGGGCACAACUAUGUCGGUAGAGGACUAGAGGUUGACAGUUAUGAAUUUUGUGAUAAUCUUCGGUUAUACUGUUAUAUAUAGCACUUUCCAGGUUAUAUGGUUCACAUUCUCUGAGCCAAUUCACAAUGACCAUUCCAGAUUUGGGCCUUGCGUUUUUAAAUUAUUUUGUAACAUUUUGGUUGAUCUUUGAUGCUGCUCCUUAAUUUUUUACAUUGACUGGUGUAGAACUAAAUGAGUGUUGACAUUCAAGGGAAGCCCCAAGCUUUUAAACAGUAUAUGAAUGUUGUUAGUUCGGUCCUUCACAAAUAAGUUCCUUGAUGUGUGUCACCUCUCAUUGCGUAUAACAUCUGGUCUUUCUAUUUUUCAUUGAUUUUUCUUCUCCCGGUGCACUGAAUCUGCAAGGGCGUGUAGACGGCAGGAUGAGCAGCAGCAUGCCGGUGGUAAGACAGGGCGUGUAGACGGCAGGAUGAGCAGCAGCAUGCCGGUGGUAAGACAGGGCGUGUUGGCGUACGCGAAGCAGCCAUACAUGAAUCUUGGCGGCGGAUGCUUGCUGGCCAUAGUGGCAGCACCAAUUCAAGCUGGGAGGCGGGAAGCUGGAGUAGCAGGAACGAUUGGUCGUCCAUUAGGCAUGAACCCAACUCCACUGUACUCCCUUUUCUUUCCAUAACCAAUUCUUUGGAGCAGACAUGUGGGUACAUUCACAUAGCCUGAAGAUUGUUUGCUUUUUUUGGUUAGUUUAGAUUUAGAUUUCUCAGAUAUUCACUAUUUGAUCAAUCGAUCCAUGUAAAUCUUAUUGACAUGGUUUGUGGAAUGUACCUUUCAGCAUUUACCCUGAUUAGUUAAAUCCCUAGCUGGUGAUAAGAGGAAGAGGAUGAUCAGGAAAGCAUGGAGUUAAGUGAAUCAGUACAGGAAGAAAGGCUGUUCAGAAAAAAAUAGUAGAGGAAGAAAGGGAGGAGCAUCACUCAAGGUUGGGCUUGGUGGCCUCGACGCCUAUUACCUCCUCUAUGCCAAGCCUCACAUCACCUAGUUAUUAUGUUAUCUACUCCCUCCGUUCCGAAUUACUCGUCGCAGAAAUGGAUGUAUCUAGAACAUCUAGAUACAUCCAUUUCUGCGACGAGUAAUUUGGAACGGAGGGAGUACUUCCAUGGAUUUACUGGCGUAUAGAAAUAUGACUAUCUGAUGUACACGUAUGACUUAGCUGAGUUCCCUCUUUAUGUAACAAGGCUCUCUUUUAAAGUUGUUUCGCUGUCCUCGUU